AUUGAACGCUGGCGGCAUGCCUUACACAUGCAAGUCGAACGGCAGCACGGGUGCUUGCACCUGGUGGCGAGUGGCGAACGGGUGAGUAAUACAUCGGAACAUGUCCUGUAGGGGGGGAUAGCCCGGCGAAAGCCGGAUUAAUACCGCAGACGAUCUACGGAUGAAAGCGGGGGACCUUCGGGCCUCGCGCUAUAGGGUUGGCCGAUGGCUGAUGAGCGAGUGGGUGGGGGAAAGGCCUACCAAGGCGACGAUCAGUAGCGGGUCUGAGAGGACGACCAGCCACACUGGGACUGAGACACGGCCCAGACUCCUACGGGAGGCAGCAGUGGGGAAUUUUGGACAAUGGGCGAAAGCCUGAUCCAGCAAUGCCGCGUGUGUGCAGAAGGCCUUCGGGUUGUAAAGCACUUUUGUCCGGAAAGAAAUCCUUGGCCCUAAUACGGUCGGGGGAUGACGGUACCGGAAGAAUAAGCACCGGCUAACUACGUG
rnacentral:rRNA from 1 species